rnacentral:rRNA from 1 species
AUACGGAGGGUGCAAGCGUUAUCCGGAUUUAUUGGGUUUAAAGGGUGCGCAGGCGGAUAAUUAAGUCAGUGGUGAAAUCCUCCCGCUCAACGGGAGAACUGCCAUUGAUACUGAUAAUCUGGAACACGGUUGAAGUGGGCGGAAUGUAGCAUGUAGCGGUGAAAUGCAUAGAGAUGCUACAGAACACCGAUCGCGAAGGCAGCUCACUAAGCCGAUAUUGACGCUCAGGCACGAAAGCGUGGGUAGCGAACAGGAUUAGAAACCCCAGUAGUCC